AGCCCAGAGCCUGAAUCAGUGUGUGUGUUAGUGGAAGCGUCUGGAAAGGCGCGCGAUACAGGGUGACAGCCCCGUACACAAAAAUGCACAUGCUGUGAGCUCGAUGAGUAGGGCGGGACACGUGGUAUCCUGUCUGAAUAUGGGGGGACCAUCCUCCAAGGCUAAAUACUCCUGACUGACCGAUAGUGAACCAGUACCGUGAGGGAAAGGCGAAAAGAACCCCGGCGAGGGGAGUGAAAAAGAACCUGAAACCGUGUACGUACAAGCAGUGGGAGCACAGAGCAAUCUGUGUGACUGCGUACCUUUUGUAUAAUGGGUCAGCGACUUAUAUUCUGUAGCAAGGUUAACCGAAUAGGGGAGCCGAAGGGAAACCGAGUCUUAACCGGGCGUUAAGUUGCAGGGUAUAGACCCGAAACCCGGUGAUCUAGCCAUGGGCAGGUUGAAGGUUGGGUAACACUAACUGGAGGACCGAACCGACUAAUGUUGAAAAAUUAGCGGAUGACUUGUGGCUGGGGGUGAAAGGCCAAUCAAACCGGGAGAUAGCUGGUUCUCCCCGAAAGCUAUUUAGGUAGCGCCUCGUGAAUUCAUCUCCGGGGGUAGAGCACUGUUUCGGCAAGGGGGUCAUCCCGACUUACCAACCCGAUGCAAACUGCGAAUACCGGAGAAUGUUAUCACGGGAGACACACGGCGGGUGCUAACGUCCGUCGUGAAGAGGGAAACAACCCAGACCGCCAGCUAAGGUCCCAAAGUCAUGGUUAAGUGGGAAACGAUGUGGGAAGGCCCAGACAGCCAGGAUGUUGGCUUAGAAGCAGCCAUCAUUUAAAGAAAGCGUAAUAGCUCACUGGUCGAGUCGGCCUGCGCGGAAGAUGUAACGGGGCUAAACCAUGCACCGAAGCUGCGGCAGCGACACUGUGUGUUGUUGGGUAGGGGAGCGUUCUGUAAGCCUGUGAAGGUGUGCUGUGAGG
rnacentral:rRNA from 1 species